rnacentral:rRNA from 1 species
UACGUAGGGGGCAAGCGUUGUCCGGAAUCAUUGGGCGUAAAGCGCGUGUAGGCGGCUCGACAAGUCCGCUGUGAAAGUCCAGGGCUCAACCCUGGGAUGCCGGUGGAUACUGUCGGGCUUGAGUCCGGAAGAGGCGAGUGGAAUUCCUGGUGUAGCGGUGAAAUGCGCAGAUAUCAGGAGGAACACCAAUGGCGAAGGCAGCUCGCUGGGACGUGACUGACGCUGAGGCGCGAAAGCGUGGGGAGCAAACAGG